rnacentral:lncRNA from 1 species
GCCGGUGGAUCCUAUCCCAUUAUAGAAGCUCGUCUGAGAUCCGACUACGAAGAAGCUCGAUCGAAGUCUACUUGUAAUAGAAGUUCGAAAGAAAUUUGUUUACAGUAGAGGCUCGAAUGGAAUUUGCUUACGAUAGAUAUCUGGGGUAGACCAUCCGCUGUAGGAGUUCGGAGUAGACCGCUUGUAGUAGAAGUUUGGAGUAGACCGCUCGUGAUAGAAGUUCGGAGUAGACCGCCCGUGGUAGAAGUUCGGCUCUCACAGGAG